UACGAAGGGGGCUAGCGUUGUUCGGAAUCACUGGGCGUAAAGCGCACGUAGGCGGACUUUCAAGUCAGGGGGUGAAAUCCCGGGGCUCAACCUCGGAAUUGCCUUUGAUACUGUAAGUCUCGAGUCCGGAAGAGGUGGGUGGAAUUCCUAGUGUAGAGGUGAAAUUCGUAGAUAUUAGGAAGAACACCGGUGGCGAAGGCGGCCCACUGGUCCGGU
rnacentral:rRNA from 1 species